AUUGAACGCUGGCGGCAGGCCUAACACAUGCAAGUCGAGCGGCAGCGGAAAGUAGCUUGCUACUUUGCCGGCGAGCGGCGGACGGGUGAGUAAUGUCUGGGAAACUGCCUGAUGGAGGGGGAUAACUACUGGAAACGGUAGCUAAUACCGCAUAACGUCGCAAGACCAAAGAGGGGGACCUUCGGGCCUCUUGCCAUCAGAUGUGCCCAGAUGGGAUUAGCUAGUAGGUGGGGUAACGGCUCACCUAGGCGACGAUCCCUAGCUGGUCUGAGAGGAUGACCAGCCACACUGGAACUGAGACACGGUCCAGACUCCUACGGGAGGCAGCGGUGGGGAAUAUUGCACAAUGGGCGCAAGCCUGAGGCAGCCAUGCCGCGUGUAUGAAGAAGGCCUUCGGGUUGUAAAGUACUUUCAGCGGGGAGGAAGGUGCUGAGGUUAAUAACCUCAGCAAUUGACGUUACCCGCAGAAGAAGCACCGGCUAACUCCGUGCCAGCAGCCGCCGUAA
rnacentral:rRNA from 1 species